ACUCCAGGGCUGUUUUCCACACCAGUAUGUCUGAUGUCUCUGCUUUGAAACAACCAGCCUGUAUUGUGGGAAAUAAACAGGUUGGUGGCACACCUACUUAAUUUUUUUGUUAUGCCUGCAUUAUCAAAGAAGGAAUGUACACAUUGCAACCUCUCCUGUUCUAUGUUAAUGUAGAGUGACUAUAAAAUUCUUUUCGGAUUACUCUGCAAUCUGCAAGAACAAGCAAUUACAAGGGUCUGCAACAUGCUUAUUUGAACUCAUCAAAUCUGCUGUGUGUUGUCCACCUGCUCCUCUCCAGCAACAGCAGGAUCGUUGUUAGCUGGUCACAGAGCCUUCAUGAUAUAUUUGCCACCAAGCAGAAACUAAUUUUUAAGACUUUUCUGAAGACAUUAUGGUGCCCAGAAGUUUCCACAGGGAAACUUUCAAUAAAUAUCAUCUCUCUGAAAACAUGGAAAAAACCUCUUCUCUAUAGAUCUUCAGCCAAUGACUGCCUCUAGGAAAUGAAGGUUUGUAGGAAUAUAAAACUGACAUAUGGCGCUUUUCACGCAGUAUAGAGGCUUUUUCCAAAAGCACAGAUAUUGAUGAGAAAUCAUGUUUAAUUUCCAUUUGCACAACGUUUUAUCACGUGUUCUCAUAGCUGUGUUUGAUUACUUAUUUGAUGUCUCUUCCCAUGAAAGCAAAAUCAAAAAAGAAACUUUCAAGGAUAACCCUACUCAGUAUAGUUGGAAUACACUUUUUUCCUAUGCUAACUUAUUUAUUGGCACAGGAAUAGGAUCAAUGUUUUCAGAAUAUUCACAGCACAUACUGCCUAUGCUAAGAGAUACACUUAAAUCUUGUUGAUUCAAGUGUGACUUCAGCAUCAUAAGUUAAAUACACACUUAAAGUCUUUUCAAAAGGUGCCUCAAACACUUGUUAAAACCUCCCUCUUUCAUACCAAAGGGUCAUAAUAACUUGGAGUUAGUGCUGCCACUCUGAAUUCUUUGAUCUAUGCAACAAGCUCUUCCUUGUUGUCUGCUGCCCAUCUGUUCAUCUCCUCGCCCCAGUUGCACUCCAUGAGAGCCUGUGGGCUUUCUGAAGUCUAACUUAUUUAAGUGGGAGGCAGCAGAAAUUCAGUCCUGAUCCACCAGAAAGGCUAAAAUGUUGACACUCAUGAGUAUUCAUGAGUCAGAUGAUAGAAACUGUACCAAAUGUGGAGAGGAACAAAUUGCAGCUAAUUGCAGAAAACUGCUAGCAGUCCAUGGGAAGAGGCAGAAUCAAACAAGAAAUCCUACAAAUUUCGGGAACCUUAGAAUUCCUCUUGCCUAUGAUGUUUUUACAGUCUUUCUCUAAACUUAUCCUCUUGUUCUUUCAAUAGCAAGCUAGCUACCCCUUUGCUCCUUUUGUAUAUAUAAUUUUUUGCCUCUUUUUUUUUUUUUCACAAUCCCUUUCCCAUCCUCCUUUUACCUCCAAAAAUAUGUGAGUAGAUAAAAAAGCAGUGCCUGUGACCUCUGACUUUUCUCUGCUUCCAAUAGAAACAGGAUGCAGGUUGAUGCUUGAGCAGAAUUCAUGAUAAUUUUAAUCCUUUUGAAACAAAUAUUUCAAUGUUUUUGUCAUCUGGAGCCCUAGGAUAAACUUUGGAACAAGAAUAUUCUAUCUAUAUUUGUUUAUGUAAUUUUCAAGAUCUUUAUGUCUGUUUGGUUUUUAUUUUUGUACAUUAUGGUGCUCACUACCAAAUGGAAACAGUGGAGUCUCUGUGGAGUCAUAGCUAUCUGUGGAAAGUCAUACAGAAAUUUGGAUCUCUCUUCCAUGUUCAGGGAGUCAAACCCCUUCAGCAGAUCAGCAUCACCCUCUUCCAGGCCAUAAAAAGCAAUAUUAAGUCUGUCAUCAUAUGGAAGUCUGUACAAAGAGCAGAUUUUUUUUCUAAAUUUCUCCAUUUCUUUAUGUCAACUAUUCUCCAUCCUUUGUAUUUACACUAUUUCUCUUCCAUCAGCAGUUCCAAAAUAACAAAAUCUAACAAAUGCCUAAUUUGUCAAAGAUAUGAGAAAUUUUGCUUUUUCACAUCGAUCAAGCACUUGACACAUGGUAGAUAUACAGUGAUAGAUGGUAGAUACACACACCAAAAUCUUGUGACUGAGCAAAAGGCUACAAAUAAUUCCAUUCUACAGAA